CUCCCUAGAUUGUUGAAACCAGUAUAAUUCUUCCUGCUUCAAAACAUCUUCAAGCUGUCGUCUCAGAUUAAAUUCCAGCUUCACUAAACCUCUCGUUCGCCGGAUAGCUAAGCUUUUUUGAACACCAUCAAUUCGACGGAUCAACCUCUGCUUAUUAUGAAAAAUAUUCCCAAACUCAGAUCGGUUCCAUUGGCUUAAUGAGUCUUUGGUUGAUUUCAAAUUAUCAAAUAAAGAAGUAUUUUGCUUCCAACCACGGGAAACAACAUUAACAAAAUCUUUGUGAGCUGUCCAAG
rnacentral:lncRNA from 1 species